rnacentral:rRNA from 1 species
CCUACGGGGUGCAGCAGUGAGGAAUAUUGGUCAAUGGCCGCAGGGCUGAACCAGCCAAGUCGCGUGAGGGAUGACGGUCCUAUGGAUUGUAAACCUCUUUUGUCAGGGAGCAAAGGGCGCCACGUGUGGCGCUUUGCGAGUACCUGAAGAAAAAGCAUCGGCUAACUCCGUGCCAGCAGCCGCGGUAAUACGGAGGAUGCGAGCGUUAUCCGGAUUUAUUGGGUUUAAAGGGUGCGCAGGCGGAAUGUCAAGUCAGCGGUAAAAUUUCGGGGCUCAACCCCGUCGUGCCGUUGAAACUGGCGUUCUUGAGUGAGCGAGAAGUAUGCGGAAUGCGUGGUGUAGCGGUGAAAUACAUAGAUAUCACGCAGAACUCCGAUUGCGAAGGCAGCAUACCGGCGCUCAACUGACGCUCAUGCACGAAAGCGUGGGUAUCGAACAGGAUUAGAUACCCGGGUAGUC